rnacentral:lncRNA from 1 species
GAACUUACUAGAAGAAAAUGGCUUUAUUGAGAUAUUUUUGGUGUGCUUAUGUUAAACACAUUAAAUAUUGUAAAUAUUGCCCUUUUUAGGAAAUUAAAAUUUGGUAGGGUAUUUACUAGUUGGCUUUUCUCUAUUUUUUUUCAGGUUACUUUAUUUUUCUUCUUGCAGUCAUGCUUUUUAAUCAUUUGAAUAGUUGAGCUUUAUGUCUCAUAUUCUGUUAAUGGAAGUAGCUGCUUCAGAUAGUUUGCUUAGGUAUAUUGUAUUUUGUAAUUGUCUAUUCAACUGUGUGGGCUGUGGUCACCACUUAUUUUGAUGAUCCACAGUGGGUCAGUCUUUUGUACUAGGCACCUUCAGAUACAUUGUCUGCUCAGUCUUGCUGUCAGUACUGUGAAAAUAAGCAAUGAUGUCCUCAUGUUUUUCAUAUGAGGAAAAUGGGACUCAGAGAAGAUACCAAAUGUAUUUGCUAAUUAUUAUUUACAUAACAGCCAUUCAUUGAACUCCUGCUGAAUGCCAGGCUCCAUUCCAAGUGCCAGCGUUAUUGGAAUGAAGAAAUUAUAAGCUCUUGGACCCAAGAAAUCACAAACUGAUACUGGGGUUCAAACUUAUAGCUGCUUGGUUCCAAAAUGUCUGUUGUGUUUUCCAUUUGAAAUUGGAGUUUUUAUUUGAAAAUAGUUUUGACUUUUGUCUUUGAGGUAACUCUUGCAUGUGUAAAUCAGAUCUCUAAUGAUUUAGUUUUAUUUCCAUAGGAGGAUUUUCACAAUCACAAUGGAAACAAUGUAAAACAAUGUAAAUAGUUUAAAACUUUUCUAUUGUUUUGAGGAGAUGGGCAUCUCAGAUAACAAGAUCAUUGAUUAGAAAAUAUUGGAACAGGUGAAUCAAGUUAGCUUCUAGACCUCAGUUACCUUAAGUAGAAGUGGGUAUAAGGGAGAGUGAUUAAAAGACAAGAGGUCUUAAGCCAGGAGUAUACCAAACUCAAGGGAAAUGAUUAUGGUUUAGAUGGAGAAGGUAAAAGGAAAUGGAUUUGACUUAAAUUUAAAGCACUAUUGUGAAUGAGGUCACAGGUACUCUAUUGGGAGGCAUGUAAGUUGGCCUUACCUCUAUGGAGGACCAUUUGACAAUAUUAAGAUCCUUAAAUAUAUUGGUGUCCUUUGAUUCUGUAAUUCUGUUUCUUUUUUUUUUUUUUUUUUUUUUUUUUGAGACGGAGUCUCGCUCUGUCGCCCAGGCUGGAGUGCAGUGGCGCGAUCUCGGCUCACUGCAAGCUCCGCCUCCUGGGUUCACGCCAUUCUCCUGCCUCAGCCUCCCGAGUAGCUGGGGCUACAGGCGCCCGCCACCACGCCCGGCUAAUUUUUAGUAUUUUUAGUAGAGACGGGGUUUCACCGUGUUAGCCAGGAUGGUCUCGAUCUCCUGACCUCGUGAUCCACCCGCCUCGGCCUCCCAAAGUGCUGGGAUUACAGGCGUGAGCCAUGUAAUUCUGUUUCUUGAAAUUUAUUUCCUGGAAGAAAAUAUGAGAUGUGCAAAAUACAUAUAUUUUUCUUGCAGUAUUCCUUAAAUGUCUAGAGAUAGGAAAUUGGUUAAGUUACAGUAUACACAAAUGAUAGAUAUGCUGUAUACAAAUAUUUAAAUAUUAAGUAAAAAGGCAGGAUAUAAAACUAUGCAUGGUGUAACCCCAAUUUAAUUUAUGUACAUCAGAAAAUCAAAGGAAAUAUAUCUCAAAAUGUUAAUGAUAGUUAUAAUGGGUGG